UACGUAGGGUGCAAGCAUUAAUCGGAAUUAUUGGGCGUAAAGGGCGCGUAGGCGGAUUGAUAAGUCAGAUGUGAAAUACCAAAGCUCAACUUUGGUGCUGCAUUUGAAACUGUCUCUCUAGAGGAUUGACGGAGAAAGCGGAAUUCCACGUGUAGCGGUGAUAUGCGUAGAUACGUGGAGGAACACCGGUGGCGAAGGCGGCUUUCUAGUUUAUACCUGACGCUGAGGCGCGAGAGCAAGGGGAGCAAACAGG
rnacentral:rRNA from 1 species